rnacentral:rRNA from 1 species
GAUGAACGCUGGCGGCGUGCCUAAUACAUGCAAGUCGAGCGAACAGACGAUAGUGCUUUCACUCUCUGACGUUCGCGGCGGGCGGGUGUGAAACACGUGGGGAACCUACCUAUUAGACGGGGAUAACUGCGGGGAACCGGAGGUAAUACCGGAUAAUAUUCAACUUCUGAUAACACAAUAGUUAAAGACGUUUCUCCUGUCAAUUAUAGAUGGACCCACGGUGUAUUAGCUAGGUUGUGGGGUAACGGCUCACCAAGGCAACGAUCCAUAGCCGACCUGAGAGGAUGAUCGGCCACACUGGGACUGAGACACGGUCCAGACUCCUACGGGAGGCAGCAGUAGGGAAUCUUCCGCAAUGGACGAAAGUCUGACGGAGCAAUGCCGCGUGAGUGAAGAAGGUUUUCGGAUCGUAAAACUCUGUUGUAAGGGAAGAACAAGUACGUUAGUAACUGAACGUACCUUGACGGUACCUUACCAGAAAGCCACGGCUAACUACGUG